GUUUGCUUGCAAACCAAAGCUGGCGACCGGGCACGGGUGAGUAACACGUAUCCAACCUGCCUCAUACUCGGGGAUAGCCUUUCGAAAGAAAGAUUAAUAUCCGAUAGCAUAUAUUUCCCGCAUGGGUUUAUAUUAAAGAAAUUCGGUAUGAGAUGGGGAUGCGUUCCAUUAGUUUGUUGGCGGGGUAACGGCCCACCAAGACUACGAUGGAUAGGGGUUCUGAGAGGAAGGUCCCCCACAUUGGAACUGAGACACGGUCCAAACUCCUACGGGAGGCAGCAGUGAGGAAUAUUGGUCAAUGGACGCGAGUCUGAACCAGCCAAGUAGCGUGAAGGAUGACUGCCCUAUGGGUUGUAAACUUCUUUUAUAUGGGAAUAAAGUGGUCCACGUGUGGAUUUUUGUAUGUACCAUAUGAAUAAGGAUCGGCUAACUCCGUGCCAGCAGCCGCGGUAAUACGGAGGAUCCGAGCGUUAUCCGGAUUUAUUGGGUUUAAAGGGAGCGUAGGCGGAUUGUUAAGUCAGUUGUGAAAGUUUGCGGCUCAACCGUAAAAUUGCAGUUGAUACUGGCAGUCUUGAGUGCAGUAGAGGUGGGCGGAAUUCGUGGUGUAGCGGUGAAAUGCUUAGAUAUCACGAAGAACUCCGAUUGCGAAGGCAGCUCACUGGAGUGUAAC
rnacentral:rRNA from 1 species